GUAGGAAUCUUCCACAAUGGAACGAAAGUCUGAUGGAGCAACGCCGCGUGAGUGAAGAAGGGUUUCGGCUCGUAAAGCUCUGUUGGUAGUGAAGAAAGAUAGAGGUAGUAACUGGCCUUUAUUUGACGGUAAUUACUUAGAAAGUCACGGCUAACUACGUGCC
rnacentral:rRNA from 1 species